CUCCUCCCAACUUCCCCCAUUUUUUCCAGUGCUAGGGAUUUACCCCAAUGCCUUGAGAAUGCAAGGCAAAUUGUCACCACUGAAGUACACCUUCCACCCCAUGACUCUUCUUGAAGUUUCUGAAACUCCACUUGAUGGACACAAGGGAACUUAUUUCAAAGUACAAUGCAGGAGAUUGAUGAUCACAUCUGAAAUGCCGAGAAGGAUCUGUGAGCUGUUUUCAAAACAGAAGGAGAGAGGCUAUGCUGACAAAGAAUCUAAAAAUCCCAUCUAUCUUGAGAAGAAUUUACUCAGCAAUGGAAAAGAGAACCUAUGUUCUCUGGGCUGAAUAUCAAAGAGGCCACAUAAGGAAUGAUCGGAGACCCUCAUAGGACUAAUCAGAAAAGAGAAAGAUUCAAUUAGUUUACAGUUGUAAAAGAGAAGGAAGCCAAAAUUUACAACACAGAUACUCAGAAUGUACAUAGUAGUUCUCAACUGGUGGCUCUGAACUCCACAAGGGU
rnacentral:lncRNA from 1 species